GGUUAGUUUCCCACCCCAAUUCGAAAUCACUUCUAAAUCCUCAUUAGGAUAUGCAACCUCCUGCUGCUGGUGAAGAUUGGUCUCUGUAGCCGGUGUCCUGAAAUACAAAUGGAAUGUCGAAACAAGUGUGCUGUCGUCAGCAAAGCAGUAUAAUGGUUUCUUAUUUUUUCCCAAUAAGUCGUUGAGAUACAAUAAAAAAAGGUUUGAAGGCGAAAUGGAUCCUUAGGGAACACCAGUGUUGAUGAUGAAAGUAUUCGAGAGAUAUCCAUCGAUGGCCACUUGCAGGGAACGUUUUUUCAGGAAGCUGAAGUGCCAUACACCAACAUGCCAUAGCAUGGAAGUUUGUCUAGCAAACCCUCAUGCCUAACACCGUCAAAGCCAUAGGAAUAUCAAGCGCAACAGCACUGGAUUCUCCAUGUUUCUCGAUUGCGUUACUCCAAAUACGGAUGACAUACGAUAGAAUGUCGCCUGUGGAUCUUUGUCUCCGAAAGCCAUAUUGAUGAUCGCUCAAGAUGUUGAAACCUUCCAAAUAAUUAAGGAUAUGGUAGGUUAACGACUUUCUUCAUGACUUUUCAUAUCACUGAUAGCAAAGCAGCUGGUCUACAUCUAUUUGGAAGAUUUUUCUUGUCCUUUCUGGAAAUGGGAUGAACGCGGGCAAUUUUUCAACAAGCAGGAAACGUCCCUCCCUCAUAAGACAUGCAUUUUAGUUUUUUAUCCAUCUGUGGAAAUCGAAUAAAGCGUUCAUGAUUGAGUAACAGUUCUCUGUUCCUUUCAGGAAUCUGCGAACAAACCAUAAAUGUCAUACUUUCCGAAGGAAAUAUACUCAAAACUCAUUCAUUCAUUCCAAAAUAGCACUUACCGCUCUCCAACAAUACUUCCUCUGUAUACAAGUUCAUUUUCUACAUUAUAGAAUUUUCUGUGGGAAAUUUCGAUGUAGGCACCUCUUUUUCCAUCAACGAAUUCUGAAAAUGAACUGUUUUUAUGUACCAUACACUUCAGAUUCAUGUAUCUCCUCAAAAAAACUUGAAGGUGUCAAAUCAGGUAAUCUAGUGGGCUCUUCUCAGGGACCAGGUCUGUUUGUCUACCCGUUUGGAUAAUUGACAGACCCAAAUGAGUUUUCGAUCGAUGACACGGUUCAGCGAGAAGAGACUGGUUGAAACUAGCUAGAUGACAAUUAUCUGAACCAGUGGAUAGGCAGAUGUGCUCUUCUUCAGAAUGACCUGCUGAGUCACUUUCAGAUAUCUUGAGGCGAUUUGUGAAACCUCAGAUGUAUGUUACAUGACAGCAGUUCACUCCAAAACUCAGAUUUGAGGAAGAAUAAUGAUAUUUUUGUUCGUUUGCAGAUUCCUAAAACAGAUAUGGAACUGCUUAUUACUCAGGAUUGACUGAGCUGAUUUUCGAAAUCAGGAAAGUAUCAUAUAGAGAAUUCGAAUAUGUGAUGAAGAAAGCAUCAAUUACUUUUUUUUCAAUAAAAACAUCAGUAGCACCCUCUUGACGACGAGUAAUGUAACAGUAUUGUCACUAAAAUUGAUUAAUUUUUACGUGAAUUUUGUCCAACCUUGAUAUCUGGUUUCGUUCAAAAGUAAGCAAUGUGGAAAAAACUAUUUACGUCUGCCAUGUAUAUUUCGAAAGUCUUGAUUGAAAUAUCAUGUAAAUUUACUUUUCCAGGACGACCAUACACCACAUCAGGACCAGGCCCAGUUAUCGACUGCACAGGGGUACAAGAUGGAACUUACUUUGCAGACCCCUUCGAUUCCACUAAAUUUUAUGAAUGCAGCAAAGGUUCUGCAAUUCAUUUCACUUGUCCUGAAGGAAAACGAUGGGUUGAUCCGACAGUGAAGUGUGCUUAAGAAGUUGCAUUGCCACCUGAAAAAAUCCAAUGGAUUCACAAUAAGUGAAUACUAAUUGAGAAUAUAUAAGUGAGUCACGAAUAAAAAACUAUCAACCUCAAA